GAGGGUACAGCUCAGUGGUAGAGUGUCGUACUUAGCAUGCAUGAAGUCCUGGGUUCAGUCCCCAGUACCUCCA
rnacentral:tRNA from 1 species